rnacentral:misc_RNA from 1 species
UGUUUGUCUAGACAUUUCUGAUAUUUGUCCCAAUUACCCAGAAGGCUAUUUUUGCAAGCAUUCUGUUUACCUUGUUUCCAGGAAUCUAGUAGUCAACCCUUGACGUAUUUGUUCAUUUUAUCUCAUGUUCUGUUGGAUUUUUGUGUUGAAAUUUUGUUCGCUUUCAUUGGUUAUGGACUUGAGAAAUGAAUUUCACUAUUUUAGGGUUAUGGGAAUUUGCUGAUG